rnacentral:rRNA from 1 species
UACAGAGGUGGCAAAUGUUGCUCGGAAUUACUGGGCGUAAAGGACGCGCAGGCGGAUUGUUAAGUCAAGAGUGAAACCCAUCGGCUCAACCGGUGGCAUGCUUUUGAAACUGGCGAUCUUGAGACACGUAGGGGAUGAUGGAACACCUGGAGUAGCGGUGAAAUGCGUAGAUAUCAGGUGGAACACCGGUGGCGAAGGCGAUCAUCUGGACGAGGUCUGACGCUGAGGCGUGAAAGCCGGGGGAGCAAACAGGAUUAGAUACCCUGGUAGUCCCGGCCCUAAACGGUGAGUGCUAGGUGUAGGGGGUUGAACCUCUGUGCCGCAGCUAACGCAGUAAGCACUCCGCCUGGGGAGUACGGUCGCAAGUCUGAA